CGCUACUGCGCCGGCGCCGCCGGGAACAACAGGCCUGGUCCCGCUUCCUGGGAUAGCGCUGCGCGCAUGCGCCUUGACGAGUGAGCCGGGGAGCCAUGGACAACUGUUUGGCGGCCGCAGCGCUGAAUGGGGUGGACCGACGUUCCCUGCAGCGCUCAGCAAGGCUGGCUCUAGAAGUGCUGGAGCGGGCCAAGAGGAGGGCGGUGGACUGGCAUGCCCUGGAGCGUCCCAAAGGCUGCAUGGGGGUCCUUGCCCGGGAGGCGCCCCACCUAGAGAGACAGCCGGCAGCCGGCCCGCAGCGCGUUUUCCCGGGAGAGAGAGAAGAGAGACCCCCAACCCUUAGUGCUUCCUUCAGAACAAUGGCUGAAUUCAUGGACUAUACUUCAAGUCAGUGUGGGAAAUAUUAUUCAUCUGUGCCAGAGGAAGGAGGGGCAACCCAUGUCUAUCGUUAUCACAGAGGCAAGUCGAAGCUGCACAUGUGCUCGGACAUAGGGAAUGGUCAGAGAAAAGAUGGAAAAAAGACAUCCCUUGGUCCUGGAGGCAUCUAUCAAAUAUCAGAGUAUGCUCCAGAGGCAUCCCAGCCUGCUGAGAACAUCUCUAAGGACCUCUACAUAGAAGUAUAUCCAGGGACCUAUUCUGUCACUGUGGGCUCAAAUGACUUAACCAAGAAGACUCAUGUGGUAGCAGUUGAUUCUGGACAAAGUGUGGACCUGGUCUUCCCUGUGUGAUGUCGUCCAUCACUGCCUUCACAUCACCUUUUUUUAAAUACAUCUGCAACUCUGCUAAAGCCGGAUCAACCCUGGAGGGCUCUGGGAGCACAGUGUAGGCUGGAAUGACAGACCGCACAGAGAUACACCAAUCAUAAGCCAAACAAUGAAGACCCCUUUCCGCCUUCUCAGGAAGCAAGUCUCUCCACCAAGGUCUACCACCAACAGCCAAGAACAAAGGAAAAAAGAAAGGGGCACCCACUUCCUCCAGAGGGGCAGAGACAGGUAGGACUCCGUUGAGGAGCAGAGGUGUUGUGACCAUUUGGAGUGAGAGAUGUGGACACUGGCAACAAAGGAAGAGAAGUCCAGAUUCCGCUCAUGGGAGGGGCUCGUAUUUGGAGACCUCUGACAGUCACUGCGCACUGGUUAUGUUCCUGGUAUGCAGGCAAGUUUGGAGGUGUCCCCCACAUCCAUACCCCGCUUCUACCAGGUUCUGUUACAGUUGGCAGAUCCAUGGGAAUAGGGAGGCCAGGGUACCACCUCCAGGAGUAGAGUGGUGUCAGUCACCCCUUCCAUCCCCGUCUGGCCCCAGGGGUUGGUUAGGCAAGGGCGUGUUCCUGAACCUCUCCAAUCAGCAGGAAUCUGGAGACUUUGGUUGGGAAUCCUGGGAUAUAGGCUUUCUCUUUCUUUCUACGCCUGAACAAGAAAGCUGAUUGUUCUGAGAGCUUCUGACAGCCUUUUGGGGAGACUGAAGCUAUUCCCAGAGAAAGAGAGGAUAGACCUCAGGAAAUAGAGGGUUGGUUGGUUGGUUGGUUGGUUGGUUUUGAAACAGGGUUGCCCAGGCUGGCCUCAAACUCCUGGACUCAACGGAUCCUUUUUCCUCAGUCUUGCGAGGAGCUCAGACUCCAGACAUGCACCCCCACAUCCAGCUGAAAAUAGGAUAUUGGUGACAGUAUUGAGUCCUACCUGCAGGCAGUGCUGCUACUCUAGGCCUCAGCUGUGUGAGCCAAUAAUUCCCCUAAUUGAUUAUGCCACUUUGAAUUGGGCUGUUUCUUACUUGCAACCAAAAGCCUCUUUGCUAAUGACUGCCCUCCAGAGCAUCACUUCAGGAGAAUAGUCAGGAGAAUGACUGCUGCCCAGGACUGUAUACCGAGGCCAAGUUAUUUGGCACACAAAGUUAAAGUCUGAGAAAGACCCAUGGCCGGGUGCGGUGGCUCACACCUGUAAUCCCAGCAGUUUGGGAGGCCAAGGCAGGUGGAUCACAAGGCCAGGAGAUAGAGAC